AGACGAGAGUUGUUAUCUACGUAAUGGCAGUUCGCCAACAGCGACGACAGUCGCUAACAGUUUAGCAGUUUGCUUGCAGUUCCAGCAUUUCUAUGUUGAGUUGGGAACUCUUUAGAUAAUCCUUAAGGAAUUAUCCCACACAGUUGUUGAAUUUUUUCUCUUCACUUUCCAAUGAUGGUCCACGACAGUGUCACAAUAAAGGAACCAACAUGAGUUAAA